rnacentral:lncRNA from 1 species
UUGGUCAGACUUUUGACUCGCAAUGUUUUCUCUUCCUAUUUUCUAGAUAACUCUCAUUUUCUUGGUAUUUUCUAGAAGUUUUCUUAAUAUUUUUUUUCUAGGAAAAAAUUCUAUUUUGCUACUUGGGUUGUUACAUUUGCUCAAAUUUUGACUCAGAAGCGGUUGAAAAUCUCCCUCAUUAGCGCUCGGAAAAAUGGUUCUGUACAUAGUUUCCACGAUAUCUUGCUGUGAAGACGUUCAUGAUCGUUUCUCACGCCUGCUCGCUCUUGGUCUGAUAAAAAUUGCAUUCUCACUAUUCUGCCGUAAUCAACGUGCUCAUAAAUAUACUGGCGCGACAUUUUAUGUCGAGAUCUUCCAUAAGAACCAAGAUGUACUAUCGGAGAGACUUUUUGAAUGUCCCGCUACUCCGAAACCGGUCGAUUUCCACUACAUCAACAACUUUCAAAUAUAAUGACGACAUGAUAAAAGGCGUAUGUUCAAUUACAACUCAAUUCCUUCAAAAAACUUAUACGAGGAUGGUCAAUCGAGGCAUGUUUGGAUUGACACUCGUAUUAUUCUACACCGGCUCAAUCUCUCUGACGGGCGCGACAUUUUCCAUCGAAAUUUUCCACAGAAAUGAACAAAGCUUGGAGGAGAAAUUAUUCGAAUGUGAUCUAUGGGAUCGGAAUGGUGGUAGUGUAAGUCAUCCUCACUCGUAAUUUUAGUGAUUGAAAUCGUGUGAAUGGAGAGAUCUUCCAUUAA